rnacentral:rRNA from 1 species
UGGGGAAUUUUGGACAAUGGGCGCAAGCCUGAUCCAGCCAUGCCGCGUGCAGGAUGAAGGCCUUCGGGUUGUAAACUGCUUUUGUACGGAACGAAAAGACUCCUUCUAAUAAAGGGGGUCCAUGACGGUACCGUAAGAAUAAGCACCGGCUAACUACGUGCCAGCAGCCGCGGUAAUACGUAGGGUGCGAGCGUUAAUCGGAAUUACUGGGCGUAAAGCGUGCGCAGGCGGUUUUGUAAGACAGGCGUGAAAUCCCCGGGCUCAACCUGGGAACUGCGUUUGUGACUGCAUAGCUAGAGUACGGUAGAGGGGGGUGGAAUUCAGCGUGUAGCAGUGAAAUGCGUAGAUAUGCGGAGGAACACCGAUGGCGAAGGCAAUCCCCUGGACCUGUACUGACGCUCAUGCACGAAAGCGUGGGGAGCAAACA